CUCUGCCAUCAAAUCAAUUAAUUUAAAUCAAGGGUCUAAAAUUCGGGCGAGAGUAGUACUGGAAUGGGUUACCUCCUGGGAAGUCCUCGUGUUGCACCCU
rnacentral:rRNA from 1 species